UGGAAAUUGCAUCAGACUGGCAAGUUUUCAGUCAAAUCCUUGUAUGAUGCCUUGGUUCAUAAUGAGGUUCUAGUUGAUAACAAAAAAUUGUGGAAGCUCAAAAUUCCCCUAAGAGUGAAGAUAUUCCUUUGGUUUCUUAAUAAAGGGGUCAUCUUAACUAGGGAUAAUUUGUCACGGCGCAACUGGCAAGGGAGUAAAAAAUGUGUCUUCUACAUAGUUUCAAAUAGCUGGCUAUAG
rnacentral:rRNA from 1 species